UGCUAGAAUCUUUAGAACUUUGG
rnacentral:siRNA from 1 species